GGUUGGCCUCGGAUCAGGUGGGGAUACCCGCUGAACUUAAGCAUAUCAAUAAGCGGAGGAAAAGAAACCAACAGGGAUUGCCUCAGUAACGGCGAGUGAAGCGGCAACAGCUCAAAUUUGAAAUCUGGCGCAAGCCCGAGUUGUAAUUUGUAGAGGAUGUUUCGGGUGAAGCCACGGUCCAAGUCCCUUGGAACAGGACGUCAUAGAGGGUGAGAACCCCGUACCUGGCCGUCGGCUCCCCCCGCUGUGAAACUCCUUCGACGAGUCGAGUUGUUUGGGAAUGCAGCUCUAAAUUGGUGGUAAAUUCCAUCUAAAGCUAAAUACCGGCCAGAGACCGAUAGCGCACAAGUAGAGUGAUCGAAAGAUGAAAAGCACUUUGAAAAGAGAGUUAAAAAGUACGUGAAAUUGUUGAAAGGGAAGCGCUUGCGGCCAGACUUGCCCGCGGUUGCUCAGCCCGCCUUUUGGCGGGUGCACUCUUCCGCGGUCAGGCCAGCAUCGGUUUGGGCGGUCGGAUAAAGGCGUUGGGAACGUGGCCUCCCCUCGGGGAGGUGUUAUAGCCCGGCGCGCAAUGCGACCAGCCCGGACCGAGGUUCGCGCUUUGCUAGGAUGCUGGCGUAAUGGCCGUAAGCGGCCCGUCUUGAAACACGGACCAAGGAGUCUAACAUCUAUGCGAGUGUUUGGGUGUCAAACCCGUGCGCGUAAUGAAAGUGAACGGAGGUGGGAACCGCAAGGUGCACCAUCGACCGAUCCUGAUGUCUUCGGAAGGAUUUGAGUAAGAGCAUAGCUGUUGGGACCCGAAAGAUGGUGAACUAUGCGUGAAUAGGGUGAAGCCAGAGGAAACUCUGGUGGAGGCUCGCAGCGGUUCUGACGUGCAAAUCGAUCGUCAAAUUUGCGUAUAGGGGCGAAAGACUAAUCGAACCAUUUAGUAGCUGGUUCCUGCCGAAGUUUCCCUCAGGAUAGCAGUAACGUUUUCAGUUUUAUGAGGUAAAGCGAAUGAUUAGAGGCCUGGGGGUUGAAACUAACCUUCACCUAUUCUCAAACUUUAAAUAUGUAAGAAGUCCUUGUUACUUAGUUGAACGUGGACAUUUGAAUGCACCGUUACUAGUGGGCCAUUUUUGGUAAGCAGAACUGGCGAUGCGGGAUGAACCGAACGGGGGGUUAAGGUGCCGGAAURCACGCUCAUCAGACACCACAAAAGGUGUUGGUUCAUCUAGACAGCA
rnacentral:rRNA from 1 species